UUGUAUAGUGGGAUCCUCAGCCUGGGAC
rnacentral:piRNA from 1 species